rnacentral:sRNA from 1 species
CCAACUCGAAAUCGUGAACUAUGUCGA